rnacentral:rRNA from 1 species
ACGGCUCAGUAACACGUGGACAACCUACCCUGAGGUCGGGGAUAAACCCGGGAAACUGGGUAUAAUACCCGAUAGAUCUAGAUUGCUGGAAUGCUUUUAGGUCUAAAGUUCCGACGCCUCAGGAUGGGUCUGCGGCCUAUCAGGGUAGUAGUGGGUGUAAAGUACCUACUAGCCUACGACGGGUACGGGUUGUGAGAGCAAGAGCCCGGAGAUGGAUUCUGAGACACGAAUCCAGGCCCUACGGGGUGCAGCAGGCGCGAAACCUUUACAAUGCUGGCAACAGCGAUAAGGGGACCUCGAGUGCUACGAUACAAUCGUGGCUGUCUAGUUGCCUAAAAAGCAAUUGAUAGCAAGGGCCGGGCAAGACCGGUGCCAGCCGCCGCGGUAACACCGGCGGCUCGAGUGGUAACCGCUAUUAUUGGGUCUAAAGGGUCUGUAGCCGGCUUAGUUAGUCUCUUGAGAAAUCUGGCCGCUCAACGGUCAGGCGUUCAGGGGAUACUGCUAAAGCUCGAGACCGGGAGAGGUGAGAGGUACUUCAGGGGUAGGGGUGAAAUCUUGUAAUCCUUGAAGGACCACCAGUGGCGAAGGCGUCUCACCAGAACGGAUCUGACGGCAAGGGACGAAAGCUAGGGGCACGAACCGGAUUAGAUACCCGGGUAGUCCUAGCCGUAAACGAUACUCGCUAGGUGUCGGCCACGGUGCGACCGUGGUCGGUGCCGUAGGGAAGCCGUGAAGCGAGCCACCUGGGAAGUACGGCCGCAAGGCUGAAACUUAAAGGAAUUGGCGGGGGGCACA